UUGGUCAUACAACAAAACCAUGGUUAAUUUUGUUAGGGAGUUUACAAUCAAUUACUUUUAAAUAAUUACAAUUUCAUUAGUUUUAUGCUAAUAAUUUGGUAAUGAUUUAAUACAAAUUGUUAUUAUCUAAUUUUUUACUUUUUUGUUUUGCGGCCUUUACUACAACAUUGACCGCCAGGUAACAGCCAGGAUAAACACAAUCUCAUUUCAUGUUCCAGAAGUACCUUAACGAACAGACAGAAUAACAACAAUAUAUUUAUUCACUGUAUUGUACAGUCAGUGUGACGGUGGCGUGUUCAAUUUGUACUGUUGAACACGCCACCGUGUUACCGGCGUGUUCAAUUUGUACAUCCCGUCACAGGAGGGCGCUCUCGCUCACAGAAAAACACCUAGUUGACUGUCUGCUGGCGUUUAAUGAUGAACACCUAUUACAGUGGCUUGGUAAAUACUUAUACUACAGGUAAUUAUAUAAAUACUUAUACUACAACCUAAAGUCAUUCAAAACUAGGGAACUAGGAAAGCCUACUAGUAUAGAACCAGUACCCUGCGGCCAGUCAGCAAUCUUUCCUACUAUCUAAAAUCGUAAAGUAGCCUACAGACAUGCAAAGUAAUUAAGCAAUUAUUUUCUUUCCUUAAUUUUUUUAAAAUCGCUUAGAAACAAAAAUAAAAGGAUGACACGUGAUUUACAGUUACUGAUAAACUGCAGAUGUAAGGAGAAUUGAUAAUUAGCAUAAUUCUAGUCAGCUGUUGGGAUGUGGUGAAAAUGAACUGCUGAAUGCUGUGUCAGUUUUCCAUCAGCUUUUUCAGCACUGCUCCAGUUCAUUUACUGGCAGUAAUUGAAGACAGAGAGUGUGAACUGUUGGACUGAAAGAUGCCCAGAGCUCUGGAAACUCCUCUGGGCUCUCACACCCUCUCACCCCACUUCCUGAUCCACAAACACCCUCAGAAGAGCACAAAUAAUGCUGAAACGUUCAAGAUCCAGAAAGACCUUGAACGUGUCAGUUGCAUUGCUGUAAGGGUCAAAACCUCUUGGAUUUCAUCAUAAAUAUCUUAAUUUGUGUUCUGAAGAUGCACGAAGGUCUUACAGAUCGCUGCAAGACCACUGAUGAACUCGACAUCCCAUAAUAAUCCAAAAUCCUGCUGAGGCCCUGGUCACAGGUUGCCCAGGGACAGCUGUUGCUAGGCAAUGACAUCACCACAGCAACAAUUCUCAGCCUCAUCAGAAGAGAGACAGAACGUGUGAGAGUGUCUGGCUCUGAACUGUGUGGUGGGUGGGUUUGUCAUUCAUUUGACAGCUGUGUUCUGGAUUUAGAGCUGCUCUGAGAACAAAACAUUGGGCUUAUUACUGAGAAACUAAGGAGGAACAGCAUUUGAAUCUAAAAUAAUUUAAUGUUUCAUUAAAUAUGGGCAUUUUAGUCUUUUGGACAAAUACUUUAAGUAGUUCGCUUAAUUUUAAACAGUGUAUAAUAUAGACUGUAGGCCUAUAUUACAUUUCCAUUACAUUUAAAAGUUUUGUAGUGGAAUUGGUGUUUAAAUAUUUAUUUUUAAAGUAAAAUCACAAACUUAUUUUUGCUAAGGCUAAUUUCCUAGCUAGCAAUGUAUGUUUAGUACCAACAAGUUAUAUUUUCACACUUUUUGCAGAAUUGGAAAAAAUUACAGCGUGAUUAAUAAAAAAUUAUUUAAAUAAAAUGUUUGUUUUAUUUGAUACUUUAUUUCUAACGUGUAAAUUAAAUACAAUAAAAACUAAUUAACAACACAGUACACAACUGUUUUAACUGGCAUGUCCGAAAAAAAAUGGUGACAUUUAAUUUAUUUUUAUUUUGUAUUUUGUUGACAUUUCACCUAAUAAGCAUAUUUUCAUUGACACUGCUGACUCAAAAAAAAAAAAAAAAAACUGUAUUAAGGGCAAAACUGUUUAUGGUUAUAUUGUUAUAUUAUUGUU